GGCGGCAUGCCUUACACAUGCAAGUCGAACGGCAGCACGGGGGCAACCCUGGUGGCGAGUGGCGAACGGGUGAGUAAUACAUCGGAACGUGUCCUGUAGUGGGGGAUAGCCCGGCGAAAGCCGGAUUAAUACCGCAUACGCUCUGCGGAGGAAAGCGGGGGAUCCUUCGGGACCUCGCGCUACAGGGGCGGCCGAUGGCAGAUUAGCUAGUUGGUGGGGUAAAGGCCUACCAAGGCGACGAUCUGUAGCUGGUCUGAGAGGACGACCAGCCACACUGGGACUGAGACACGGCCCAGACUCCUACGGGAGGCAGCAGUGGGGAAUUUUGGACAAUGGGGGAAACCCUGAUCCAGCAAUGCCGCGUGUGUGAAGAAGGCCUUCGGGUUGUAAAGCACUUUUGUCCGGAAAGAAAAACCGCCUGGUUAAUACCUGGGCGGG
rnacentral:rRNA from 1 species